GCUCGAGUGGCGAACGGGUGAGUAACACGUGAGUAACCUGCCCUUGACUUUGGGAUAACUUCAGGAAACUGGGGCUAAUACCGGAUAGGAGCUCCUGCUGCAUGGUGGGGGUUGGAAAGUUUCGGCGGUUGGGGAUGGACUCGCGGCUUAUCAGCUUGUUGGUGGGGUAGUGGCUUACCAAGGCUUUGACGGGUAGCCGGCCUGAGAGGGUGACCGGCCACAUUGGGACUGAGAUACGGCCCAGACUCCUACGGGAGGCAGCAGUGGGGAAUAUUGCACAAUGGGCGGAAGCCUGAUGCAGCAACGCCGCGUGCGGGAUGACGGCCUUCGGGUUGUAAACCGCUUUCGCCUGUGACGAAGCGUGAGUGACGGUAAUGGGUAAAGAAGCACCGGCUAACUACGUGCCAGCAGCCGCGGUGAUACGUAGGGUGCGAGCGUUGUCCGGAUUUAUUGGGCGUAAAGGGCUCGUAGGUGGUUGAUCGCGUCGGAAGUGUAAUCUUGGGGCUUAACCCUGAGCGUGCUUUCGAUACGGGUUGACUUGAGGAAGGUAGGGGAGAAUGGAAUUCCUGGUGGAGCGGUGGAAUGCGCAGAUAUCAGGAGGAACACCAGUGGCGAAGGCGGUUCUCUGGGCCUUUCCUGACGCUGAGGAGCGAAAGCGUGGGGAGCGAACAGGCUUAGAUACCCUGGUAGUCCACGCUGUAAACGGGUGGGUACUAGGUGUGGGGUCCAUUCCACGGGUUCCGUGCCGUAGCUAACGCUUUAAGUACCCCGCCUGGGGAGUACGGCCGCAAGGCUAAAACUCAAAGGAAUUGACGGGGCCCCGCACAAGCGGCGGAGCAUGCGGAUUAAUUCGAUGCAACGCGUAGAACCUUACCUGGGUUUGACAUGGAUCGGGAGCGCUCAGAGAUGGGUGUGCCUCUUUUGGGGUCGGUUCACAGGUGGUGCAUGGCUGUCGUCAGCUCGUGUCGUGAGAUGUUGGGUUAAGUCCCGCAACGAGCGCAACCCUUGUUCACUGUUGCCAGCACGUUAUGGUGGGGACUCAGUGGAGACCGCCGGGGUCAACUCGGAGGAAGGUGGGGAUGACGUCAAGUCAUCAUGCCCCUUAUGUCCAGGGCUUCACGCAUGCUACAAUGGCUGGUACAGAGAGUGGCGAGCCUGUGAGGGUGAGCGAAUCUCGGAAAGCCGGUCUCAGUUCGGAGUUGGGGUCUGCG
rnacentral:rRNA from 1 species